rnacentral:rRNA from 1 species
GAUCAUGGCUCAGGAUGAACGCUAGCUACAGGCUUAACACAUGCAAGUCGAGGGGAAACGAUAUUGGAAGCUUGCUUCCGAUAGGCGUCGACCGGCGCACGGGUGAGUAACGCGUAUCCAACCUGCCCAUCACUUGGGGAUAACCUUGCGAGAGUAAGACUAAUACCCAAUGACGUCUCUAGAAGACAUCUGAAAGAGAUUAAAGAUUUAUCGGUGAUGGAUGGGGAUGCGU